CGGGAGGUACCAUGUGACCAGGAAACACUUCAGAAAACUCCAGCUGACUAUUAAAUACGCAAAAGAAGCAGCACAGCCAGGCCUCAUCCCACACUGCCAAGAGAUGCAGAUGGUGGCAAUGCAGGUUCUUCUUCUGCAAACGCCUCUCCACUAAGGCGCCCAUCACAGGGCUUGGUUACUGUGGCUAGGAGGCCAAGCAAAAGACGCCGUCUUCAGGCUGAAUCCCCAGCACCAGCAUCACCACCCCAACGGCGCAUCUCCGCAGUGUCGGCCCUGUCACCACUAGCUAUUUUGGCCAGCCCACAAAGUGAGGAUCCACAAUCCCCUCAGUUGUGUGAACCAGCCAUCAUGCCCGAGGAUGCCCAGUAGGAAAGUGACCAGCAGGAUACAUACACUCUUCACCUGCAACCCAUAGAUGAUACCCAGACAACCAUGCCACAGGACAUACCCCAACCACCCCAAACAUCCCACAGCCCACAAUUGAGCACAACACCAGCCCAGACUCAAAUGGGCCCUGAGUUUUGGAGCGGUUGGGCCAAACAACAGGAACAAAACUAUGCGUGCCUUAACACCCACAGCCAAUACCUGGCAAGUCUGCCCCAUCAUCUGCCUAGACUGGCUCGAAACUCUGGCAGACUUAUCGUUCAAGUGGGAAGAAUAGCCAAUUCAAUGGAACAGAUGAGGGUAGACAACUGCCAAAUGGAAGCAAAUCUCGUACGCAUCAUGGAUGAACAACAGCGCGAACAACAAUCCCUAAUUCAGAUCAUCCAACACAACCACAUUAUUAAUGAAAACAUGUCCCGAAUAAUAGCAAGCCACACUGCAGCUAAUACGAAACUCACUGCCAGCCUCAAUAUACUCAGCCAAAGCCUUAUAGUUUUGGCAUCACACCAAGUCAGCUCUAGCUCGGGAACAACUACACCAAACCAGACCCCAGU